UCUGACCCACAAUACCUUAAAAUGGGUGUGACUGGCAUUGUUUUUCUUUUCAAAACGUACUAAGGUAUGAGACUCCCUCACUCUCAACUCCCAUGCAGCAGCAGAUCCUCCAGGCUUCCUAACUCUGUGGUCAGAUCCAGUUUGACCAAGGCAAAGAUUUUUAGGAAUUGAUUUUCACAGGAAGGGUUUUACUUGGCCAGGGACCACUUCUUAUCAUCCAAGAGAUUUAACAAGAUGUUUUCAGGCAUAUCUAGAAUAGAAGAGGUGCAGGGCUUAUAACAUGGGCUUCUCCGGCCAUGUAUACAAUUGACCAGGAAUGAGGCCAGGGAUCUCACUGGUUAUUUGUUCACCCUGUGAGGAAGCCCUGGUUGCCUAGACUUCCAUUCUGGGAUCAAGAACAAAGGACAGAUGCAAAGACUUGCCUAGUAUAUAGCUGAACAUGGAUCAGCAUUAGGCAGAAUAGGUACCCAGAAAUCUACAUUAACACUCUGUUAAGGUGCCAGGAACAACAAAGUGGAGAUAAAAUUUCUCUAUGCCAUGUGGGAUUCACGGGCAACACAAACAGGAGGCUUUCAGAAAAAGACUCUGUAUCUUGAAGUGGAUUCUUUAAUGCCGGGCAUGGUGGCUCACGUCUGUAAUCCUAGAACUUUGGGAGGCCUGAGGUGGAAGGAUCACUUGAGCCCAGGAGUUUGAGACCAGCCCGGGCAACAAAGUGAGACCCCCAUCUCUAUAAAAAAAUAGAAAAAAAUUAGCCGGGUGUGGUGGUGCAUGCUUGUCGUCCCAGCUACUUGGGAGGCUGAGGUGGAUCACUUGAGCUCUGGGCGGUCAAGGCUGCUGUGAACCGCGAUCGUGCAGUGGCACAAUCAUUGCUCACUGCACUCCAGCCUAGGUGACAGUGAGACCCUCUGCUGGAUGCUGAGCCAGAAAAGUUAAGGUAAAU
rnacentral:lncRNA from 1 species